CUGGCUCAGGACGAACGCUGGCGGCGUGCCUAAUACAUGCAAGUCGAACGAACUCUGGUAUUGAUUGGUGCUUGCAUCAUGAUUUACAUUUGAGUGAGUGGCGAACUGGUGAGUAACACGUGGGAAACCUGCCCAGAAGCGGGGGAUAACACCUGGAAACAGAUGCUAAUACCGCAUAACAACUUGGACCGCAUGGUCCGAGUUUGAAAGAUGGCUUCGGCUAUCACUUUUGGAUGGUCCCGCGGCGUAUUAGCUAGAUGGUGGGGUAACGGCUCACCAUGGCAAUGAUACGUAGCCGACCUGAGAGGGUAAUCGGCCACAUUGGGACUGAGACACGGCCCAAACUCCUACGGGAGGCAGCAGUAGGGAAUCUUCCACAAUGGACGAAAGUCUGAUGGAGCAACGCCGCGUGAGUGAAGAAGGGUUUCGGCUCGUAAAACUCUGUUGUUAAAGAAGAACAUAUCUGAGAGUAACUGUUCAGGUAUUGACGGUAUUUAACCAGAAAGCCACGGCUAACUACGUGCCAGCAGCCGCGGUAAUACGUAGGUGGCAAGCGUUGUCCGGAUUUAUUGGGCGUAAAGCGAGCGCAGGCGGUUUUUUAAGUCUGAUGUGAAAGCCUUCGGCUCAACCGAAGAAGUGCAUCGGAAACUGGGAAACUUGAGUGCAGAAGAGGACAGUGGAACUCCAUGUGUAGCGGUGAAAUGCGUAGAUAUAUGGAAGAACACCAGUGGCGAAGGCGGCUGUCUGGUCUGUAACUGACGCUGAGGCUCGAAAGUAUGGGUAGCAAACAGGAUUAGAUACCCUGGUAGUCCAUACCGUAAACGAUGAAUGCUAAGUGUUGGAGGGUUUCCGCCCUUCAGUGCUGCAGCUAACGCAUUAAGCAUUCCGCCUGGGGAGUACGGCCGCAAGGCUGAAACUCAAAGGAAUUGACGGGGGCCCGCACAAGCGGUGGAGCAUGUGGUUUAAUUCGAAGCUACGCGAAGAACCUUACCAGGUCUUGACAUACUAUGCAAAUCUAAGAGAUUAGACGUUCCCUUCGGGGACAUGGAUACAGGUGGUGCAUGGUUGUCGUCAGCUCGUGUCGUGAGAUGUUGGGUUAAGUCCCGCAACGAGCGCAACCCUUAUUAUCAGUUGCCAGCAUUAAGUUGGGCACUCUGGUGAGACUGCCGGUGACAAACCGGAGGAAGGUGGGGAUGACGUCAAAUCAUCAUGCCCCUUAUGACCUGGGCUACACACGUGCUACAAUGGAUGGUACAACGAGUUGCGAACUCGCGAGAGUAAGCUAAUCUCUUAAAGCCAUUCUCAGUUCGGAUUGUAGGCUGCAACUCGCCUACAUGAAGUCGGAAUCGCUAGUAAUCGCGGAUCAGCAUGCCGCGGUGAAUACGUUCCCGGGCCUUGUACACACCGCCCGUCACACCAUGAGAGUUUGUAACACCCAAAGUCGGUGGGGUAACCUUUUAGGAACCAGCCGCCUAAGGUGGGACAGAUGAUUAGGGUGAAGUCGU
rnacentral:rRNA from 2 species